CUUGUGACGUCAGGUACAUACGGGAUUUUGGGGGCGGGUUUUGGCGGGAAAAUCUGUAAUGUUUGGAGAAGACAAGAUGGCGCCGGUUACCUCGUGUUAUAUCAAAGGGCAUUUUUGUUCACAAAUACCCGCUUAUUUUACGUUAUAGCGACUGGUUAGUUUUGGAAAUUAUAACUCAAUGGACAUGGAAGACGAUUCUGUAUUAAAGAGAAAAAGAUGUGCAGUUAUUGUGAUGUUAUUUGUUGUGAAAGACGGCCCGAAAUUUCGCUACUUCGCCGUACUGGUUUAUAAAACAUUUACAAGCAACAGCAAUUGAACUAUAUCACAAAGAAACCAAUGUGUACAAGCCAAUCAAGUUCUUCAGUUUACAGGUC